rnacentral:rRNA from 1 species
GAUGAACGCUAGCGGCAGGCUUAACACAUGCAAGUCGAGGGGCAGCGCGAUGUAGCAAUACAUUGGCGGCGACCGGCGCACGGGUGCGUAACACGUAUGGAAUCUGCCCUGUACUGGAAGAUAACCCGGCGAAAGUCGGACUAAUAUCCCAUAAUAGCCGAGGUGGCAUCACCUUGGUUUGAAAGCUCCGGCGGUACAGGAUGACCAUGCGCACGAUUAGCUAGUUGGUGAGGUAACGGCUCACCAAGGCUACGAUCGUUAGGGGGGCCUGAGAGGGUUAUCCCCCACACUGGUACUGAGACACGGACCCAGACUCCUACGGGAGGCAGCAGUGAGGAAUAUUGCGCAAUGGAGGCAACUCUGACGCAGCCAUGCCGCGUGCAGGAAGAAGGCGCUACGCGUUGUAAACUGCUUUUAUCCGGGAAGAAACCCCAGGACGUGUCCUGGGUUGGACGGUACCGGAGGAAUAAGCACCGGCUAACUUCGUGCCAGC